rnacentral:rRNA from 1 species
AAGGAUCAUUACAAAAAGAUUGGUAUGCUUCGCGCAUGUCGCUCUUUAAACCCACACCUGAGUACCUUUCCUGUUGCUUCCGCGGAGCGGGGACCAGCCCUCUGGGCGCGCCUCCGCCCGACGACGCGAGAGUCGUCGGGAGAGCCUCCGCGGGAGGUACACCUUCAAACCCUUUUGCAUCCAUGUCGUCUGUCUGAAUAUUGCUUGUAAUAAAUGUCAAAACUUUCAACAACGGAUCUCUUGGUUCUCGCAUCGAUGAAGAACGCAGCGAAAUGCGAUAAGUAGUGUGAAUUGCAGAAUUCAGUGAAUCAUCGAAUCUUUGAACGCACAUUGCGCCUCCGGGGCUUGUUCCGGAGGCAUGCCUGUUCGAGCGUCAUUAAAAACCACUCAAGCUGCUUUUGCUUGGUUAUGGUGGAGGAGCUACGCCCUGGCGCGAGCUCCCCUCCGAAAUCCAAUGGCGGAUGGCCUCGCGGCUGCCACGGCGUGAUAAGUUAAACCUUUCGCCCGGCGCCCGAGGCGCUCCUGCCCUCGAACCCCCAGUUUUCUACGGUUGACCUCGGAUCAGGUAGGGAUACCCGCUUGAACUA